UAGUCCCUUCCUUGAAGCCGUCGGAUAAGCCACAUGACGAGCCUCAAGCAAGGGACUUAG
rnacentral:pre_miRNA from 1 species